GGCUAAGGUGUCUUGGCUAAGGUGUCUUGGCUAAGGUGUCUUGGCUAAGGUGUCUUGGCUAAGGUGUCUUGGCUAAGGUUUCUUGGCUAAGGUGUCUUGGCUAAGGUGUCUUGGCUAAUGCGUCUCGGCUAAUGUGUCUUGGCUAAGGUGUCUUGGCUAAGGUGUCUUGGCUAAGGUGUCUUGGCUAAUGUGUCUUGGCUAAGGUGUCUUGGCUAAGGUGUGUUGGCUAAUGUGUCUCGGCUAAGGUGUCUUGGCUAAUGUGUCUUGGCUAAUGUGUCUUGACUAAGGUGUCUUGG